rnacentral:antisense_RNA from 1 species
UUCAAUGGGCGGGCCUUGGUGGGGAGACCCUCGGGUCUGCCGGUUUCCUAUCGAGCCGGUUCGCCAACCUUGCCAUGUGCCCGCUCACCCUA